CUUCGCACUCGUUUGCAUACAAAAGUAAAGCACACAUUUUGCUUUAUGAGAAAAAAAAAACAAAGAACAGUCGUCGCCCUCCGCAUCUUUUCGUAUUCAUUUAGAACGUUGUGUCAUUCCAGUGUGUGGUAUUCUAUGACAAACUUUUUCCAGCAUCUCAUGGAAAGCAUCCUGUCAGACUGUCGUAACACAGUGGUGUUUAUCGAUGAUAUCCUCAUCAGGGGUGCUUCCGAAGCAGAGCACGACGAAGCGGUGAAAAAAACCUUGUCGGUACUAGCCUCUCAUGGUCUGUCACUCAACAUCAACAAGUGCAAGUUAAAAAAACAGCAGAUCGAAUUUCUUGGACAUAAUUUAUCUCCGGAUGGAGUCUUGCCUUCGGAAGCUAAGAUAACUUCACUACUGCAAUGUCGAGCACCACGAAACAAGGAGGAACUACGCAGUUUCCUGGGCCUUGUAACAUAUGUGUCCAGAUUCAUCCCAGAUCUAGCUACAUUAAGCCAUCCUCUAAGAGAACUUUUGAAAGUGUCCAACCAGUUUCAGUGGCAUCCUGACCAUGAAAAGUCGUUCGAAGCACUCAAACGGCAGCUUGGCCACGUUGAUCACCUGGGUUACUAUGAUCCAAAAGACUAUACCAUUUUGGUAACUGAUGCUUCAGGAGUUGGUCUCGGUGCCGUGCUGGUACAAAUAAAGAACCAUCAAACCCGAAUUAUAAGCUACGCAUCUCGCAGUUUGUCAGAGACAGAGCGUCGUUAUCCACAAAUAGAAAAAGAGGCCCUAGCAAUCGUGUGGGGUGUUGAGCGUUUUAAAAUUUACCUGUUGGGAAUCUCGUUCACUCUUGAAACCGAUCAUCGCCCACUGGAGGUACUGUUUACUACAGAAUCCCGACCAACAGCGCGAAUCGAAAGAUGGAUGCUUAGAUUGCAGGCGUUCCGAUUUAGAGUUGUAUACAGAAAAGGAUCGUCUAACAUCGCAGAUACUCUUUCGCGAUUAGCGUCACAUGUAACCGAUCGGUCUUGGCAAGAAGAUUCUGAAGUAUACAUCAGGAAAGUUGCUGCUGAAGCCUUAGCAACACUAACUGAUGGACAACCAGGUGCAGACUACGAUCACGAUAUUGAGGUUACUAUCAGGUCAAUCCAGGAAACAGCAGCAGUAGAUAUCUCCGAAGUAAUCAAUGCCACCAAGAACGACGAAGAAUUGCAAGCUGUAAACGUAUCCGUCUUAGAAGAUAAUUGGACAUCGCAUCUCGUGAAACCAUAUUCAGCGUUCCGUAGUGAACUGUCAUUUGUAAAUGGACUAGUUAUGCGAGGUUUGAAACUAGUUGUCCCCAUCAGUCUCCGACAGCGGAUGCUCAUGCUUGCUCAUGAAGGUCAUCCUGGACAAUCCUGUAUGAAACGACGACUAAGAGAUCGCUGUUGGUGGCCAAAUAUGGACAGCGACAUAACCAAAGUUUGCGAAAAGUGUGAAGGUUGUCGACUUGUUCAAGUACCCGAUCCACCAGAGCCUAUGCACAGAAGACCCUUACCAGAUAAACCAUGGAUUGAUAAAGCGAUUGACUUUUUGGGCCCCUUACCAACCAGUGAAUAUAUCUUGGUCGUCGUGGAUUAUUUCAGCAGACAUGUUGACUUAGAAGUUAUGACAACGAUAACUGCUAAUUAGACUAUCAAACGGUUGAAAAAAAUCUUCGGAUUGUGGGGUGUCCCACGCACAAUAACAUUGGACAAUGCCAAGCAAUUCGUUGCAUCUGAGUUUGAAGAAUUUUGUAACCUAAAACGAAUUCAUCUGAAUACUGGCCAUACUGGCCUCAGGCUAAUGGCGAAGUAGAACGCCAAAAUCGGUCUUUGCUCAAACGAAUGAAAAUUGCAAAUGCAUUGUACGGAAACUGGAGAGCAGAAAUGGAGCAAUAUCUGGAGAUGUACAACAAUACACCAUAUUCGACCACAGGACGUACCCCCAAUGAACUGUUGCAAAAUCGUCGGUUGCGGUUCAAAUUUCCUGAAAUUGAAGACUUAGCUUCGGCCGUUCCGUCAACUGAAUACAGGGAUAAUGAUACUGCUAAGAAACUAAUGGGGAAAGAAAGAGAGGACGCUAGGCGUAAAUCGAAGUCUAGUGACAUUGUCGUGGGCGAUGUUGUUCUCAUGCGGAACCUUCAUCCUACAAACAAGCUCUCAACCAACUUUUUGAAGGAAAAGUAUUUGGUGGUAGAACGGAAUGGAUCGAAUGUUCGUGUACAGUCGAUAGAUACAGGUAAGGAGUACGACAGAAACGUUUCACAUUUGAAGAGGAUUAUAGAUUCAACAGAGCCCUCAACCUCGGUCGAGGACGGCGAAGAACCCAACGAGGCUAGUGAGAGAACAGCAGGCCUGCGUCCUUCUGAGCGAAUCCGUAAAGCAACAAAUCGUUAUCAUUAGAAUCAUAGCUUUCAGUGUCACUGUUCACUGGAUUAUAAAUAUAUUUCUAAUUGCUAUAAUUCAUAUCACUGGCAAUCACUUAAUGAAAAUGUAAAUAAUCAACUAUCUUUAAUCAUAUAAAGGGGAAUGUGGUAUUCUAUGACAAACGUAAGUAUUGGUAACCCUAUACCUUGUAUAUGUGUAUGUGACACUCUCACGACGGACGGUUCACUCUCGCAGUGUAUGAACACUGCGACUCAUUCUAAUGUACUUCAUAGCGUGCAUCGGUCGUUAUCACACAGUGUCUUAGUUUUCAAAUUCAUAAAUUCGUUGAAUUUUACUAUGGAGCCUUCAACUUCAGCGGCACCACCUGAUUCAAUGUCUAUACCGUCACACAAUGGCAGAAUCCUCGGCGAAUAUGGACAUACAUGUCAGGAAGCGGGAGUCCCGCCCACUGAUUUCGGAGCUGCAGGCAAUGACGCAGCGGCAGAGACUGAAUAAAAUGAUCAAGUCGAUUUUCCCGGCGAAUCGCGACGUGGCGGCGAUGAUGGACGACGAGAUCUGUCUCACCCUGGAUGGCAACGACUGGCAAGGCACUCCGUAUUUUACUUCUCCGACGAAGGAAGUAACCUCCGAGGUGAAGUUCAAUUCACACACCAAGUUCCUCAAGUAGGUGCUACUGUGGCUGACAAUAAGCUAGAAAAGGAAUUGCUUCUCUUUCGCUCCACACUGGCCGUGAACGGAAAAGUUUAUAAUACGAAGUGACUGCCGGAAGUUGCGUCAUUCAUUAGGAAAUACCAUGAGGGUGAAGACACGGUGUUCUGGCCAGAUCUGGCGCCGACCACUAUUCGAAGCGAUCGCAGGUGAAGAUGUAAAGAUGGAGCGGCUGAAUAUCGAUGUGGUCGGCGAACCCGCCCAACGUCCCCCAGCUGCGUCUCAUCGAGAAUUUCUGGGCAAAUUUGAAGCGUAAAAUCUACUCCAACAAUUUUGUCGCGGAAACUGAGGAGGAAAAACAUGCCUACUCGCAUUGUUUUGUCCGCCAUGGCUAAUACUCCGGUUAACUGCCGAAAGGCCGCUCGUAGCAUUUGUUUGCAGGUAAGCUAAUAUAAUUUUCUUACAUGGGAAAUUUAUCAAAUUCUAAAUAUAUACUUUAGAUUUUUGGAGGAUGGGAAUAAAUCCGAAAAAAGUCAUUUUUUUUUCAUACAAACGUAAAUAUCGGAAGUUCGGAAGUGUCUGGAUUAAUUUCCGUUCUCUAGGCGUCAAUUUGGUUCCGAAAAUAAUUAAAUUGGGUGGUAUUUGGUCAUGCUCUGAUUAGUGGAAAUCUGCAUUCAAAAAGGCUUGACCCUUUUCAAUAGUACAAAAGUUACACUAUAAAAAUACAAUAUUUUUUUUGUAUAUAACAGUACAACAUAAUCAUUACGUUAUAAAGUAACUUAAGUCAACUUAUUUUUUUUAUUAAUUUCUUCAUACGCAUGCGCUACCUUCCGCGGAGGAACUAUGUGCUCGACUCUUGACAAUGGGUGGGGCGAGCUACGCGAGCUUGGAAAAACUAUCUAAGCAUUGCCAUAAGAGAGAACGCGGUCAAAUAUCGACGAGCUCGAAAUUAGUUCACAAGUCUUAGGAGUUUUACGAGAAGGUAAACCAAUCCCGUGAGAGUUACACACUGAGUCCAGAUAUGUGUAGGAACGAGGAGGAAAACCUGAUCACAUGCGAGUGCGAAGUGGUCGACAGGUGGAAGCAGUUUUUCGAAGAGCUCCCUAAUAGCGGAGUAACGGAAGCAGGCGGGAGGAAAGUAAACCUUGGAGUGCCUACAAACGAUAACAGUGUCCCAGUUACUGAUAUUCUGGAGAUCAAAUGGGAAAUUGGGUCACUAAAGAACAAUCGAGCCGCAGUCAGGACAGACUACCGGCAAAGCUAAGACGGCAAAAAGACAGUAACAACGGCACUCCAUUGUGUAUUUUCCAGGAUUUGGGAGGAAGACCGGAGGAAUGUAUGGAAGGAGUUGUAUGCCCUAUCUUUGAAAACACAACGGCUUUGUAGACUUCAAGGUAGCUUAUGAUACAGUCGAUCGAAACCAGCUAAUAACGCAAAUAUCGCACGACUACGCUGCCGUGAGAUGACAUUGUGACGUAGAUCCAAGUAAUCAGUUUUUCAGUACGGCCCAAAAACGAAAGAAUUCUUCGUCACUUUUGUAUGGAAAUGUGUGCCAACGUCACUUUGUUUUUUUUUUUGAUUUUAUUCAACGUACGAAUAAGUAACAACGAAAAGGAAGAUACCAAAAGACAGGUCUUCGAAUAACGAACAAAUUGGCAUGAAAAACUCAUAUUCGAGAAAGUGGCACUUACGUCACUUUGUCAUCUCACGGCAGUACGGUUUUCCGGACACGACUUAUCAAAGCUAACUUGAAUCGAGUUAUGUGUUACGUGUGCCUUUCGGGGACACUCUCGAAUCCCUUCAAAUUGCGCAGAGGAUUGAAACAAGGAGACUAUCCUGCAUGCUGUUCAACAUUGUCUUGAGGGUGUAAACCGACGAGCGGGCAUCGAAACGAGAGGCACAAAUUUCAGCAAAAGUAGUCAACUCAUAGGCUUCGCAGACGGCUUCGACAUUAUUACAAGAAAUUUUGCAACGGCGGAGGUAACCUACACUAGACCCAUAGCCGGAUCUAGGGGAGGGGGGCUAUGGCCUUCUGGCCCCCACAAAAGAUCACUUGUCAUGACUUAUGACAAAUGAAAAAUUCAAUAAAAAUCGUGAAACUUUAAAAUAACUUAAA